rnacentral:rRNA from 1 species
UACAGAGGGUGCAAACGUUGCUCGGAAUUAUUGGGCGUAAAGCGCGUGUAGGCGGCUUGUUAAGUCGGUUGUGAAAACCCAUGGCUCAACCAUGGAAGCGCGUCCGAAACUGGCAAGCUGGAGUCCCGACGAGGGUGGCGGAAUUCCCAGUGUAGAGGUGGAAAUUCGUAGAUAUUGGGAGGAACACCGGUGGCGAAGGCAGCUCGCUGGGACGGUACUGACGCUGAGACG